GAGCGGCGGAGGGGCGGGCGGCGGUCCGAGGGGUCCCGGCUCCUGCCCUUGGCCGAACUGUAUCUGGGUUGUGGCCAGAAGAGGGGAAAAAAAAAUCUCAUGGGCUGAGCACAUGGUCUCCUAAACUGUACUCUUGGCUCUCGGUGAUUACAGCUGGAGGAAUUCUAAACAGUUCACUUCUCCUUGUCAUGGUGUUUGAGCGCAUUGUGCUCCGUCUGAACAGAGGAAAUCACUGAGCAGGACUGAAGGGGGUUUUACUCUGGCAUUGGUUCAGAAUACCUGCAAUGGCUACAAGGACAAGUAUUAUAGAGUCCUUGAUCUUGAAGAGUGACUGAUGGAAAGAAGCAGUGCAGGAAAGGCCUUGGCUCUGGUCCUUGGCUGGAUGGGCAAGAAGAGGCCUUUGGCAGAGAAGGGAGAAAGGUUUUCCCUCACAGCUGAGUCAGCAGAAGAGAGCGUUCUGUGUCUGACCCUGCUGGGUUAGUGCUGCCUAUCUCAGCUCAGACCACAGUGUGACAGUGCUGUGACUACCCUGGCCUUUGUCCUGGACUGGCUGGUGUAGGGAUGUGUAUUUACACCAGCUGACCAUGGUGCAGGGAAGUAGCCUCUGGAAGAGAGUUGGCUGGAGAGUAUGACUGGAACUGCUGGACAAAAGUUGGUGGAACUCUUCUGAGAACUCCUAGAUUCCAUAUUAGGAUGGUGGCUUUUCCAGUGAUCUGCAAUGAACAGCUCUGCUGUUGGCCCUAUCUGGAUCUUGGUCUCCUGUUUUAUAGAUUUUAUAGGUAAAACAAAUUUUACAUUGUUGUGAACUUGCUUCCAGGCACCGAUUCUUAUAAUCCAUAAACCACAGUAAAACUGUGGCCUUGCUCUUCAGCAAUUCUGCAGUCACCUAUCUCUGAGACAUUGUAUUUCACCCUUGAAUAAGAUUCUAGACCAAAAAAAGAGUUAGACUGCAUACAGAUUAACAAAUGUAUUGCUUGUAUCUCUGGCUACUGCAGCAUGACUCACCCAUCAGUGCUUGUCAGAGUCUGGCGUGACCUCAUUGAAAGCUUCAACAUCUCUUAUGUGAAGGCAGGUUGUAAUCCAGUGUGGGAAUCCUAAAUAGGUGGGGAAUGAAGUUCCGAGAUUGUGAUAAUGCAUACAUCAUAAACAUCUCCCUGGAAAUCAAUUAUGCCCUUACCAGGAAUAUUCUUACAGAUUUCUGAGAUCUCUUGGUGCUAAGCCUGCCUUUCCCUGCUUUUAUUUAAAAAACCACCUGUAUUAUUCAAGACAGCAACAGAAAUCAAUACUGGUGGGAAAAUUUAAGAGUGAAUGGGACAUGUCAAGGAGGAGAUGCUCUGCUAUUUGCAAGGACAAGAAAGAGCUGAUGGUUCCUUUUUAUGUAUGACAGCUUCUAUAUGCUUUUGUUCUUUUUUUUUUUUUUUCCUAUGUCAGUAAUGAGGCUUCUGGUACACAGAUAUCUGCUGCUACUGGAACUGAAAGUGAAAUCCCUAGCUGUUGGUCUGGUUGCUGUCCUUGGGACAUGUGAAUGUCUGCUCCUGUUUUGCUGUAGGUAAUUUCUGGAAGUGGCAAAGUUGUCUGUGCCAGCCAGGAAGCUUUGUCCGUAAGCAGCAACAGUUACUGUCCCUUAGUUUCUCAAAGCUGCAGCUCCUCAGUGGUUCCACAGACCUGCUUUGUCACAGAGUGUCAGUAACUUCACAGAACUCACUGCACCUGCUGCUGUACUUGGGAUCAACUCUGGCAUCUGUCUAAAUGUCGGAAGCAAAGGACUGGAUACCCUAAACAGUAACUGCAGUGGAGCCAUUUCCAGGAGGUCAAAGUCUACUGCAAGCAGUGACCGAUACAAUUCCCUGUGUAAGUCAGGCUGGACUGCCUGUGCCUCAGGUUCUAACAGCAGGGGAGUUUGUGCAGGAGCACCUUGGUAGGUGUUUGUCUGGAUUUCUCGGUGGUCCCUGUGAUGAUCCUAGGAAGCAGGAGGAGAUCCAGAAUUGUCUGAAAGCCAGGAUUCUCUGAAAUCCCAGAGUAGUGAUAAGACUUGUGGCUGAGGCCAACCUGCUAGCCUGCUUCCUAUUCUGCUUCUUGUACGUAUCCAAGAAGCUGUCUCCAGUUUAUACUGCUGUACUCUAGUAAACAAUUUUGCAUGCAGAUAUGGGCAGCAGAUGUUACUCAUGCCUGUGUGAACACUUCAGUGUUUUUACAACAGGGAUGAUCCUUGGAGUGAGUCCUGUUAAACAAUGGAUGUACCCACCAGAAGUCCCACAGGUUACAGCCAUUCUGUUACAGCUUGCUCAAAACACUUUGAAGGAUGGUCACGCCAUCCUUCUUUGGCCACUCAAGGGGAUUGACUCACAAAUACGAGCAAAAUAAAAUUAGAUGGCUUAAGUAGCUGCAACCCCAGCUGUGUCCCCGCUGCCCAAUUCCCAGAAGGUCAUCCCUGCAGCCAGGCUGGCUGUGGAAGGCAACUCCUGAGCUGCUGUAGUGACAGCCCAUUCUUCAGGGUGUUAAAAUUUGUCUGGCUCCUCUGUGACACAGUUUAGGAAGCUUAACCAGAAUAAAAAUGUGCACUUUUCCAUCUGAAGAAUUAUUUUUUAGUUUAAUUUCUCAAAUGGGCUCUGAGAAGCAGCAGCGUUGCUGUGAGGGCAGGGCAGGGAGAGAUGACCUUCCCUUUUGGGAGCAGCCAUUACGUCAGUUUUGCUGCCUCACAAAACUAUACCCUAUGGUUAUUUUUGGUGCUGGACUGCCUUAAUUUUCUGGAGAGUGAAUGAAGGAUUAGCAUAGUGUGCUUAUGAUAUUUGGAAACUAAGCUUUUAGGAAAAAAAAUCAUAAUUCAGCAUGUGAUGAGGUAGAAAUGCUUAAAUUGUUAAGGAAGGGAAAGAUGAGCAAAACGUGAAUUUUUUACAAUUUUUACAAUUCAGUUAGGGGGUUAAAUCCUUUUUUAAUGUUUUGGGUUUUGCUGCUUUUUAAGACCUCUAACCCAAUGCCUACUAUCCAGCUGCCUCUAGAGAGAGAAGUCUUUAAAGAGACCAGCUUUGUACCUAUAAAUAAUGUACACAGCAGAGUACAAAAAUGGAGUCAAGGAGAAGCUCCUCCUUACCUGAGUGUAACUGCAGCAGCUCUGUGAGAAUAGCUGUGGUCAGGCUGUGAGCAGCUCUCCUACCCUGUCAUCCAUCUUGACUAAACUGCUUCUGAGAACUAAUUCUGAGAUUCCAACACUUGAAUAUCAACUGGUAAAUCCCAACUGCCUUGUACUGAAACGCAUUAUUUGCCAGCAGCCAAAUGUGGCAAGGUUUUGAACAGUGUGGUUAUAAUCCUGCUUGGAACUAAAGGUCUGCUGGGAUGCUUCAAGUUGGAUGUGUUGGAAUAUGGAGAAUUUUGCAAGUCUGAACCCCUACUAUAAAUGAAAACAUUGUGGCAAAAAAUGUAAAUAAAUGCCACACAUACUUUGUGUAAGAGCCCUUCCCAAUACCUAUAAAUAUGGUAAUUUUGGUGUUUCCCAAUUCUGAGUUUUAAACAGGAGACAGACACAUUAAAUACUCCAAAGCAAGGAUUUUAUUUUUUUCAUGGAUUAAUUUUAUAAUUUCACUUCUAACUUACCUGAAAAGAAUUAAUGGAAACUAAAUGUAGUGUUUUAAAGAGGUUUGCCUUUGAAAGGAAAUAAAUUGUUCUUGAAAAAA
ensembl:lncRNA